rfam:Schistosoma mansoni strain Puerto Rico chromosome 4, complete genome
GGACUGCACCUGCUUUAUUUUAUUUAUUUAUUUAAACACAUAAAUAUUGGUACAAGGAAGCACCAGAUAAAUAUGCGCCUCACAAAUCUCAUUUGAUUUGUGAGGCGCAUAUUUAUCUGGUGCUUCCUUGUACCAAUAUUUAUGUGUUUAAAUAAAUAAAUAAAAUAAAGCAGGUGCAGUCC